AUUUCUAUGGAUUUUAAAAGUCUGGGUGUAUUCGUUCCAGACUUUUAAAAGUCUACAGAAAUCUAGGUGUAUUCGUUCAAGACUUUUAAAAGUCCAUAUAAAUCUGGGUGUAUUCGUUUCAGACUUUUUAAAAUCCAUACAAAUCUAGGUGUAUUCGUUCAAGACUUUUAAAAGUCCAUAUAAAUCUGGGUGUAUUCGUUUCAGACUUUUUAAAAUCCAUACAAAUCUAGGUGUAUUCGUUAUUC